CAGGCUAGAGUAUGUGAGAGGUAAGUGGAACUCCAUGUGUAGCGGUAAAAUGCGUAGAUAUAUGGAAGAACACCAGUGGCGAAGGCGGCUUACCAGCACAAUACUGACGCUCAGUCACGAAAGCGUGGGGAGCAAAUAGGAUUAGAUACCCUAGUAGUCCACGCCGUAAACGAUGAUUACUAAAUGUUCGACUAAAUCGAACGCUGAAGCUAACGCAUUAAGUAAUCCGCCUGGGAAGUACGAUCGCAAGAUUGAAACUUAAAGGAAUUGACGGGGUCCCGCACAAGUAGUGGAGCAUGUGGUUUAAUUCGACGCUACGCGAAGAACCUUACCUGGGCUUGACAUAACAUGAAAACGGUAAUGAAAGUUAUCUAAUACCUUCGGGUAUAUAUGCUACAGGUGGUGCAUGGUUGUCGUCAGCUCGUGUCGUGAGAUGUUGGGUUAAGUCCCGCAACGAGCGCAACCCUUGUCCUUAGUUGCCAAUAUUAAGUUAGGAACUCUAGGGAGACUGCCGGUGUUAAAUCGGAGGAAGGUGGGGAUGACGUCAAAUCAUCAUGCCCUUUAUGUCCAGGGCGACACACGUGCUACAAUGGCCGGUACAAAGAGUCGCGAAACCGCGAGGUCAAGCUAAUCUCAUAAAGCCGGUCUCAGUACGGAUUGAAGUCUGCAACUCGACUUCAUGAAGCUGGAAUUACUAGUAAUCGCGAAUCAGCCAUGUCGCGGUGAAUACGUUCUCGGGGCUUGUACACACCGCCCGUCAAACCAUGAGAGCUGGUAAUACUUGAAGCCGUUAUCCUAACCGUAAGGAGGGAGACGUCUAAGGUAGGACUGGUGAUUGGGGUUAAGUCGUAACAAGGUAACC
rnacentral:rRNA from 1 species